rnacentral:rRNA from 1 species
AGUGAACGCUGGCGGUAGGCCUAACACAUGCAAGUCGAACGGCAGCACAGUAAGAGCUUGCUCUUACGGGUGGCGAGUGGCGGACGGGUGAGGAAUACAUCGGAAUCUACUUUUUCGUGGGGGAUAACGUAGGGAAACUUACGCUAAUACCGCAUACGACCUACGGGUGAAAGCAGUGGAUCUUCGGACCUUGCGCGAUUGAAUGAGCCGAUGUCGGAUUAGCUAGUUGGCGGGGUAAAGGCCCACCAAGGCGACGAUCCGUAGCUGGUGUGAGAGGAUGAUCAGCCACACUGGAACUGAGACACGGUCCAGACUCCUACGGGAGGCAGCAGUGGGGAAUAUUGGACAAUGGGCGCAAGCAUGAUCCAGCCAUACCGCGUGGGUGAAGAAGGCCUUCGGGUUGUAAAGCCCUUUUGUUGGGAAAGAAAAGCAGCAGGUUAAUACCCCGCUGUUCUGACGGUACCCAAAGAAUAAGCACCGGCUAACUUCGUG